rnacentral:rRNA from 1 species
GAGUUUGAUCGUGGCUCAGAUUGAACGCUGGCGGCAUGCCUUACACAUGCAAGUCGAACGGCAGCACGGGAGCUUGCUCCUGGUGGCGAGUGGCGAACGGGUGAGUAAUGCAUCGGAACGUAUCCUGGAGUGGGGGAUAACGUAGCGAAAGUUACGCUAAUACCGCAUAUUCUGUGAGCAGGAAAGCGGGGGACCUUCGGGCCUCGCGCUCUUGGAGCGGCCGAUGUCGGAUUAGCUAGUUGGUGAGGUAAAGGCUCACCAAGGCGACGAUCCGUAGCAGGUCUGAGAGGAUGAUCUGCCACACUGGAACUGAGACACGGUCCAGACUCCUACGGGAGGCAGCAGUGGGGAAUUUUGGACAAUGGGGGCAACCCUGAUCCAGCCAUGCCGCGUGAGUGAAGAAGGCCUUCGGUGUAAG